ACUUAACAUCGAUUUUUUUUAAAGUGUAUUUCCAGUUUAGCAACACAAUUGAACUCGAAUUUCGCAUUUGGUUUGACAUUCGGUGAGUUCAACGACAAAUGGAAAUUUUUGUUCGAUUUUUGUCUAUGUAAGAUCUCAACAGAUAUACUAUAACUAACAUAUGCGCCGUUGAUAUAGGAAAAUGGACUACGUAGUUUAAAAUUUGGAGUAUUUUAAUUGCAACAGAGCGAGAUAAGCGUCCGGGUUCAUUGACAUAGCUAGAUGAGAUUCUAUAAUACCAGACGUUACCAGAUAAUAGCAAAUACUACUAAUUAUACCUGAUUAAAACCCAUAGAAAUUCGCAUGGAACGAAUUAGUCAGCAAAGGGCACUUGAAAAAUGAAAGCCAAAAUACUUGUGUAAUGAUUUAUCAAGGCCUUGUCCUAUUGAUUAUAGCUUAGUAUGCUACAAAUAAGUAUAUAUGCAUGGAUGUAUGUAUAGGAUUACCUAAGCGAUAUUCUGUUUUAUAUCAGUGUACGUAACAGCUGUUUUUCUACUUGUUUUUCAAGAGAAAUUAACACUCAAAGUAGACAACUCUUUGAAAACAUGUCCACUCGGUAUUUGCAUUUCAUUUGGAAAUACUACACCCUGGUAGGCACAUAUAAUACAUUCGAUACCCUUACUAACCGAUUCUCUAUCCAUGUGGCUUUUAUUCACCAUUUGCCUGGAAUACAGAAUGUUGUUCUGCUUCUUUUUAUCUCAGUAGAAAAAGCACAGCCGGCGGACUGGCGAAGACUGUCACAACAACAAAUAAAAAUCAGGCAUGAAAUUGAGCAUAAGAAAGAGAGAGAGAUAAGGCAUUGUGGUGUGAGUGUGUGUUCCAGCUCUGACUGAACAGGAGCGGAUUUUUCAAGUCAAAGCUACAGCAUGCUUUUUGAUGGCGCAGCAAAAAUUCUGAGCGCUGCAGCUUACGGGUUAAGCAAUAUUUAUGUCGCCUCUCUGUCUCUCUUCGUUAAGUAUUCAUAUGUGAGGGUAUGUGUGAGAGAGCCUGCACGUGUUUUUCAUAUAACACUAUUUCUGGGGUUUUGGUGCUUCGUUUUCGCUUGUUUAUUCGUAUUCUCGAAUUGCUUCGGCUGGCGCGCCGCAAUGGAAAGUUUUACGGCUAUCCGAAAACUAGGAGACACUGCAAACUUAACGCUGAAAGCUAUUUGAGGCAAUGCAAUUGUUGUUAAUAAAUAAAAUUUGGCAAAGAUUUAAUUGCCAAGGCGAAGGCUAAACAAACAAAAAGUCGCGACGCCCCUUACGUAAGAAUCAACAAACUGUUAAUAGCUACUUAGUAUAGCCACAUAUGAUAUUUAUAUACUAUAUACAUAUAUUUUUAUAUA